ACCUUGUUGCUUCGGCGGGCCCGCCGCAAGGCCGCCGGGGGGCUCUGCCCUCUGGCCCGCGCCCGCCGAAGACACCAUUGAACGCUGUCUGAAGAUUGCAGUCUGAGCAAUUAGUUAAAUAACUUAAAACUUUCAACAACGGAUCUCUUGGUUCCGGCAUCGAUGAAGAACGCAGCGAAAUGCGAUACGUAAUGUGAAUUGCAGAAUUCAGUGAAUCAUCGAGUCUUUGAACGCACAUUGCGCCCCCUGGUAUUCCGGGGGGCAUGCCUGUCCGAGCGUCAUUGCUGCCCUCAAGCACGGCUUGUGUGUUGGGCUCCGUCCUCCUCCCGGGGGACGGGCCCGAAAGGCAGCGGCGGCACCGCGUCCGGUCCUCGAGCGUAUGGGGCUUCGUCACCCGCUCUGUAGGCCCGGCCGGCGCUUGCCGACACAUCAAUCUUUUUUCCAGGUUGACCUCGGAUCAGGUAGGGAUACCCGCUGAACUUAAGCAUAUCAAUAAGCGGG
rnacentral:rRNA from 1 species